GGGAAGUUCCAAGGCCCCAUGGUGUAAACAGAAGGCAUAUCAGUAUGGCUGAGCAGAAUGACAGAAUAGGAGAAUGAAAGAACUUAAGACAAGAAAAACGAUAGAAAGGGUGUGAACACCAUGUAGGCCUUGGAAGUCAUGAACAAAGCUUUAGAAUUUAUUCUAAAACUGGAAGUCACUGGAGGCCUCUGAGCUACAGAAUUCUAUGAUGGGACUCACAUUUUUAAAAGAUCACUCUAGCUGCUGUUUCAAGACCAGAUUCUAAAUGAGCAUUAAUUAGGAAACUAUUACUAUAAGCCAGGCGAGAAAUGAUGCAUCCUGGGAAAAUGUGGUGCAGUCCAGGUGGCAAGAAGUGGCUGAUGAUGAACGUAUUUUGAAGAUUCAGUUAGUAGGAUUUACCAAUGAUUAAAUAUGAUGCAAGAGAAAGAGAUGAGUCAAACCUCAAGUUCUUGUCCUGAGCAAGUGGAAACUAAUAUUUCUUGAGAUAGGGAAGUAUGUAGAAGAAGCAGGUUGGAGUGGAGAAGGGAGGUUAAGUAAAAAUGUGUUAAAUGUGCAAUGCCUUGUACACAUUCAAAUGCAAUCAAUAUCAGGUUGCUGAAUAUAAAAGCUUAAAGCCCAGGAACAUGAUAAGCACCAAAAAUACAAUUUUAAGAAUCACCAGUGAAUAUAUAGUAUUUACAGCCAAGGAGCUGGAUAAGAUAUCCUAGAGAGUGAAUCCAACUGGAAAAGAAAGGAAGUUCAAAGAUUGAGCCCAAGGGCACUCCAAUGUUUAGCUGUUGGGAGAUGAGGAGGAAGUCAAAAAGAAGCAAUCUCAAGGGAGACAGAAACUAACAGGUCAGUGUCCCAGAUGCUAAGCAAAGAGUAUUUUCAAGAGCAGAGUGAUAAUUGUGCUAAUUCUGCAGUAUCUGUCAAAAUGCAAAGUGAGCAGAGUCUCUCAUUCAGCAAUCCCAUUUUGAACUAUUUAUUCUAUAGUAACAUAUAAGCACAUAUGAAAACUGCUCUGCAUGGACAUUUAUUAAAUUAUCAUUUGUUAUAGCAAAUUAAAUGCUCAUCAGCAGGGGACUAUUUAAAUUACGGAGCAUCUGAACAAGAGAAUAAUUUUUUAAGAAUAGAAGAGUAUGAGGAAAGACAGAAUCAGUGGAGCCAACCACUAAAGUAAGGCAACCUGACGGGUUAGAAGCAACUUGAAACAAGCUCUCACUUCUGAUGAAGCAGACUUGGAGAAGAGAACCAUCAAGAAUGCUACUGUCCAAUAAAGCCAGCUCUGGUGACAGAAAACUUUCUUGUGCUGCCCAAAACGAGACAAAUGAUAGAAACUCCUUUCUCAUCACUAACCAGAAUUUGGAAAAUUCAAAUCCAAAUUGUACUGCAAAAUUGCCUUCGCUCAGUAAAUCAAACAGAUCUUCCUUUACUUUCAUCAACAGAUGUAGUGUGAAAAUUUCCUAUGAUAGUAUAAAUAAAUUGUGAAUAUAACUGAAAGCAUACACCUAAAUCCAUGAUGCAGCUCUUCCUUAAGUAUACAAGGUGUUGCUCUACUUGUCCUAAUGAUCCUUCUUUACUAUUCAAAUCGUGCAACAAACUAAAUGCCACAAAUCCAUCUUUUUUAAGCACACGUUUCCAAGGCCAAAUUUUUGCACCGAAUCCAUAAAUUCUGUCAGUACACAUGAAUUCAUUGUUAUGAGAUCCUGGCAAUUUUCUAUUAGGUUUAUUCACUCAGCUAAUGAAGCUAUUUUUUUCAAGGCAGUAACUACCUUUUAACAAAUCUUUAACAAAUCAGAACUGUUUACAGAAAAAGUUUGAAUUCUCCUUCUCGUCCAUAAACUUUUGACAAAACUCUACUUUGGAUAUACACUGCCUCUCAGUAUGAAACUGUGGAAAGCUAUAUUCCAACCCCAUUUCUUCAUGUGAAGCUAAAACAGAUGUGAAUAAAGCAGCUUCAGCUAUAUUAUAUUCUCCAUUUAGAUAUAUCAAACUAUGUGAAAUUCAUGUACAGGCAAUCUUUUACACAAGAGAGUUUCUCUGAGAAUAAAAUACCAUAUUAUUUGAA